rnacentral:rRNA from 1 species
CCUUGUACACACCGCCCGUCACACCAUGGGAGUGGGUUGCACCAGAAGUAGUUAGCCUAACCGCAAGGAGGGCGAUUACCACGGCAGGGUUCGUGACUGGGGUG